rnacentral:rRNA from 1 species
AGAGUUUGAUCCUGGCUCAGAAUGAACGCUGGCGGCAGGCCUAACACACGCAAGUCGAACGAGGUAGCAAUACCUAGUGGCGGACGGGUGAGUAACACGUGGGAACGUACCCUUUGCUACGGAAUAGCCCUGGGAAACUGGGAGUAAUACCGUAUGAGCCCGAGAGGGGAAAAGAUUUAUCGGCAAAGGAUCGGCCCGCGUUGGAUUAGGUAGUUGGUGGGGUAAUGGCCUACCAAGCCGACGAUCCAUAGCUGGUUUGAGAGGAUGAUCAGCCACACUGGGACUGAGACACGGCCCAGACUCCUACGGGAGGCAGCAGUGGGGAAUCUUAGACAAUGGGGGAAACCCUGAUCUAGCCAUGCCGCGUGAUCGAUGAAGGCCUUAGGGUUGUAAAGAUCUUUCAGGUGGGAAGAUAAUGACUGUACCACCAGAAGAAGCCCCGGCUAACUCCGUG